rnacentral:rRNA from 1 species
GACGAACGCUGGCGGCGUGCUUAACACAUGCAAGUCGAACGAUGAACCCGGAGCUUGCUCCGGUGGAUUAGUGGCGAACGGGUGAGUAACACGUGAGUAACCUGCCCUUGACUCUGGGAUAACUGCGGGAAACUGUAGCUAAUACCGGAUACGACCUUCGGCGGCAUCGCCAGGGGGUGGAAAGAAUUUCGGUCAAGGAUGGACUCGCGGCCUAUCAGCUAGUUGGUGGGGUAACGGCGCACCAAGGCGACGACGGGUAGCAGGCCUGAGCGGGCGACCGGCCACACUGGGACUGAGACACGGCCCAGAAUCCUACGGGAGGCAGCGGUGGGGAAUCUUGCACAAGGGGCGCAAGCCUGAUGCAGCAACGCCGCGUGAGGGAUGACGGCCUUCGGGUUGUAAACCUCUUUUAGUAGGGAAGAAGCGAAAGGGACGGUACCUGCAGAAAAAGCACCGGCUAACUACGUGCCAGCCGCCGCCGUAA